GUAUCCAGCGACUAGGGUUAGGGUUCGGUGUGAAGAGGGUUAUUUAUACCCGUUUUCUUUUAAUCUGAGCCGUCCAUCUCAUUUGAUCUUGACCAUUCGAUCGCGAUUAAAUAAAAAGUGUAUCUGAACCGUUGAUCGCAUUUAAUUCUGAUCGUCCGUGGGCGCGAGAGCGGAUCUGGGUUGUCCGAUCGCGGGCAUGCGAAUCGCCCGCGUGGCACCGCAUCAAUGUCCGUUGCCACGCGAC
rnacentral:lncRNA from 1 species